GUCUUUCCCUCUUAUUCUGAUCUUUUGCCAUGAAAAGAACAUGCAUGAGUGGCUACUGACUUAAACGGGUUGAAGAAACAGGUGGAAAGGAACUGAACUCAAUCUGUAGCAUGGAGCCAAGUCAAGUAGGGUCAAAAAUGUGGCAGUUACUGGAAUAGCUAAGUGGAAUACAAACAUGUGAAGAAA